UAUUUCUCUAUCCUCUCAUCUCUGCAUUUCUUCAUUUUGGCGUCUCGCUCUGUCACCCUUUCAUGGUCACGUCUCCCCUUCCCCUGCUGCUCGGUCUAGAGAUCGUCUCGCUUGCGCUCGGUUUAAUAACUGUUUUGUCACGCUCGGUCUCUGUGUCCUUCAGAGGAGUCGACUCUCUGAUCAGGUUUCUUAAAGAUCUGAUGCGCACUUGUUUACAUGAUUUAUGUGUGUAUAUGCCACCCCGGCCUCGGCAUUGUGCACUCAUCGGGCUGUUAAAUGCUGAAUAGUCACCGUGAGAAUGUGAAGAGAAGAAUGAUGCCACAUUAAUGUGUGCGUGAUAAAUCUGCGUGCUUAACAAACAGCUGAAGUCAGGGGAAACACGGAUUCUGGUGCUGUGUAUAGGGGGAGGGGAAAGUGCUAUGUUAGAGAGCAGAGGGAGGAGUUUGGGUUUGAUGGAAGGGUCAACAGAGAACAAAUAGCACUGAUUUCUUUGAACCCUAAUUAUAACUAAGAAGUAAUCAUAGCCAUGACGAAGGUUUGUUUUUCUGCAGAAAUAUGAGCAUUUAAUUUUUCCUACCAUUAAGCAAAUGGCUUUCCAGUCUAAACUUGGCUACAGAAUAAAAGCUUCUUUUUUUUUUUUUUAAUUUUUGAACCAACAUUGUUACCCAACAUUGUUACAUUGUUACCCUAUUUAAAUAUAUAAAUGCUAGUUUGUUUCAUUUGAAAGACUUGGUACCAAAUAUGCAGUGACUUUUUGGACUCUGAGCAGUUUUUUAAAAUUGUUUUUUUUAAAGAUUUGUAAUACAUUAAUUUGUGAUCUUGUCAACAGAGCUGCUUUUUAUGUCAGAGAUUUUAUAAAAAUCAAGUGUUGACAAGCAGCACAUGAACUUUUAUAUCCUUUAGGCAAACAGCACCUCUCAUGUGAUGCACGGCUCUAUUUCAAAGUAAAAGGAGCUCAUAAUGAGCGAGCAGGCUGUAAAACCUGAUGGAGAGCUGUCUUUGAAUCACCUUUUAUAACAACUCUUUGUAACUAAAUGUAAUCAGAGCAGUGAAUCGGAGACAUAAAAUGAAAGGCUGAAAAAGCAGCACGCCGGGGAGGUCACCGCGUCCUAUCUCGAAGGAGAUGCAGUUUUGAUAUCUUUCCACUCCGAGCUUGCUCGUCCACUGGCGGACUCACAACCAGGCCACGUCACGCAAUAGCGAUGAUUGAUGCAUUCGCACGUGAACUAGUGUAAAGAUAAUACAAGGAUGUACAGCAACUUGAUGUGUUUUAUGUGCACAUUUGCACAUAAAACACACCAAUGUGAUAUGAAAUGUGUUUCUGCGUUAUUGCCGUUGAAGAUUUGCUUUCUG
ensembl:lncRNA